rnacentral:sRNA from 1 species
UUGAGAAAUCGGGAAAAGGGGAAAUCGAGAAAUAGAGAAAUCGAGAAAUCGAGAAAGCAAAAACGCGAAAACGUGAAAUGAAUUUCUCGAUUUCGCUUUUUUGCUUUCUCGAUUUCCCAACUUCCCGAUUUCCCUAAUUCUCGAUUGCUCGAUUUCCCGAUUUCCCGAU